AGUGAACGCUGGCGGUAGGCCUAACACAUGCAAGUCGAACGGCAGCACAGUAAGGGCUUGCUCUUACGGGUGGCGAGUGGCGGACGGGUGAGGAAUACAUCGGAAUCUACUUUUUCGUGGGGGAUAACGUAGGGAAACUUACGCUAAUACCGCAUACGCCCUACGGGUGAAAGCAGGGGAUCUUCGGACCUUGCGCGAUUGAAUGAGCCGAUUUCGGAUUAGCUAGUUGGCGGGGUAAAGGCCCACCAAGGCGACGAUCCGUAGCUGGUCUGAGAGGAUGAUCAGCCACACUGGAACUGAGACACGGUCCAGACUCCUACGAGGGGCAGCAGUGGGGAAUAUUGGACAAUGGGCGCAAGCCUGAUCCAGCCAUACCGCGUGGGUGAAGAAGGCCUUCGGGUUGUAAAGCCCUUUUGUUGGGAAAGAAAAGCAGCAGGUUAAUACCCCGCUGUUCUGACGGUACCCAAAGAAUAAGCACCGGCUAACUUCGUG
rnacentral:rRNA from 1 species